rnacentral:lncRNA from 1 species
UCAGACAGAAGGUGAGAUCUCUUGCUGACAAAAAGGAAAAUUCAAAGCAGUGAUUAAGGUAGUGGGAAGAGUUGAAAAUAAGUCUACUUAUAAAUAAGGAGCCCCUCCUUUUACAAAAAAAAGUUUUUACAAAGUUUAACUCAUUCCCUUAUAGGAAGGCAGGUUAUAUGAGAAACAUAAUAACCUAUUAAUUUAAUUAUAUUCAAUAAAUAUCCCCUCUUAUGAUGAAUGACAAAGGUUUCCUAGAAUUCUGCACCUUUGAGCAAAGUGGCAGAUUAAUACCUCUGAGGGGAGCAAGUAGGUGUGAAGAUUAAAAAAUAGUGUCAUCGAUUUGCAUUGCAUUACUUUUAACAUAGAUAACACUGGGAUGGAGAUGGGAAUUGAACAUCUUAACCAGAUUGAUUGGUUUAUCUAUCAAGAACUCCAUGAAUACAGGGGAAUUCACAUUGUGGUACAGUGGAAACAAACCCACUGGUAUCCACGAGGAUGCAGGUUUGAUCCCUGGACUCGCUCAGUGGGUUAAGGAUCUGGCAUUACUAUGAGCUGUGGUGUACAUCGAAGACAAGGCUUGGAUCCGGUGUUGCAGUGGCUGUGGUGUAGACUGGCAACUGUAGCUCUGAUUUGACCCUUAGCCUGGGAAUUUCCAUGUGCCACGGGUGCGGCCUUAAAAGGUGAAAAACCCCACCUGUCCCCCCAAAACCCCCCCAAAAAACCCUCCAUGAAAAUAUACACAAGAUACCUAGUACAUGUUUCUAUGCUCAAAAAGACAAUUUGUGAAAGGAGUUCAAGUUUUUAUGUUUCCAUUUGUCAAGGGAAUGCCAAGAGUGUUUACAGAGUUCCUGUUGUGGCUCAGUGGUUAACGAAUCCGACUAGGAACCUUGAAGUCGCAGGUUUGAUCCCUGGCCUUGCUCAGUGGGUUAAGGAUCCGGCAUUGCUGUGAGCUGUGGUGUAGAUUGCAGAUGCAGCUCGGAUCUGGCAUUGCUGUGGCUCUGGGGUAGGCCGGUGGUCACAGCUCCGAUUCAACCCCUAGCCUAGGAACCUCCAUGUGCCUCGGUAGCAGCCCAAGAAAUGGCAAAAAG